CUAGUGCAGGGAGCACAGCUUCCCCUUGGGAGUGUGGUGGGAAAGCUCAGGGGUACAUUUUCCCUGAGAAGCAUCUAUGGCAGGGGAGGUCUGAGCCUUUGGAAGAGAAGUGCCCACUCCAAGUCACAUUCCCACCCCACAGCUCGAGCACCCCUGUGCCUUCCAGGGGCCUGGCACUGGCACUGUGUCCCAGAGUGACAUGGAUGGGGAAUGAAGGGCAUCUCCCUGGGCAGCACAGCCGAGGCAGGGGGUUCAUACAGCAACAGCAAGGGGGGAACAGUUGGGAGAGUUUUCCAUGCAAUGCUCCAGCCACUCCAGCCACGAGCAGCUGUCAGUGGCCCCUACCUGCAGCUAUUGACUGAGCAAAUAAUCCCCAGGUAUCCUUUUCUCCUGACAAAAGCUGGGUUUUUUUCUAUUAUUGUCAGAGGUGUUUAUUAGAGCGGAAAAAUAAUAGUGAUUUGCUUGCAGCCUGAUUGCCGGGAAGUGUCGGGUGUGGGCACACAGCCUCGACAGCUGGGACCAGACUGACACCAUGGGCACAGCGAGGUGAGGGCUCUGCUGGGGGGAGAAAAGCCCCUGCCCAGCUGGUUUGAUGAGAGGCAGCAUCAAAGGGAAAUUUCUUUACAGCAAUGGCAGAAGAUGCUUCACAAGUCUGAGCUCUGGAGUGACUCAGCAGAAAAGAGCAGGAAUUUCCAGGAGUAUGAGGGGUGAGAGGCUGGUACAGGGCUUGGCCAAAGGACAUAGGGAGGUUCCUCUGCCACAGACACCUGUGCAACAGAGGAAUGUGUCAGGAGCCAUUCAAGGUCAGCCUCUAGGACCCCUGCCAUCAAUCCUCUCCAAUUUGCAGCUGCCUAGCUGGGGAGGAGCUGGCAGUGGCACAGGGACAAGCACCAAGGACAUCUCCGGUGUUUGGGUGACCACAGCCUGCAGACACAGGAGGGUCCUGGAUAGGCUCCUGUCCCAUGGUGGCAGGCUGCCCAUGUCCCCCUGUGAUCCAGAGCCAAGGGUCCUCUCUUGACCACCUCUGCCCACCUAUAGAGUGACUUGAUGGGGAGCCCUCUGCUCCCUCCUCAUUGCUGAUGGCUGAACAAGAGGGCAGUCUGAAUUAAUUGUAUUGGGCACCAAUUAACCAGCUCUUCUCACCCAUUAGAGACUGCAGAAGCUUUUGCACUUGAAUCUUGCAUCUUACAUGACUGGCAAUAUUCUAUUAUUUAGGGAAUGAAAAGAAGAAAGGGAAAAUCCCUUUAGGGGAGGCAGGUUUUGCUGCCUGCAGAGCUGAUACACACUGGGAAUGCACUUUAUUCUGUUUAAGAGGAAUGAUCCACCCAGCAGGGAUGGAAUCAGAGGCACAGAGAGGGAGCUGAGAGCUCCCAGGUACCGGGUGUGGGGCUGCCGCCUGUGGACUGCAACCAGAGCUGCCCGCAGGGUCUGGCCAUGCCCACGGGCUGCUGCCCAACGCCAUCCAACGCACUGCGACCAGGAAAAACCCCGCAGCCGCUUCCUCUUUCCACCUUCCCCCUUGCCUGAUGGCCUCAGGCUUGGGAGGCUCUCAUGUCACAAACUGGGAGCCAUUGCCUCACCGCUCACCCCAAAAUCUGCCUCGUGAGCAUCCACCCUCCCUCCAAACUGUGCUCCCCUUGCUGUCCUACACCGUGCUCUGUGUCACCAUCGUGCCUCUGCACCGUGGGACCCUCUGUUACCCAGCUCUGCACCCCGGCAG
ensembl:lncRNA